CAGCCGCCGCGGUAAUACCAGCUCCCCGAGUGGUCAGGGCGCUUAUUGGGCCUAAAGCAUCCGUAGCCGGCUCUGUAGGUCUCCUGUUAAAUUCAGGGGCCCAACCCCUGAGCUGCGGGAGAUACCGCAGGGCUAGGAGGCGGGAGAGGCGGACGGUACUCCGUGGGUAGGGGCAAAAUCCACUGAUCCACGGAAGACCACCAGUGGCGAAGGCGGUCCGCCAGAACGCGCUCGACGGUGAGGGAUGAAAGCUGGGGGAGCGAACCGGAUUAGAUACCCCGGUAGUCCCAGCUGUAAACGAUGCAGGCUAGGUGUUGGGACGGCCAUGAGCCAUCCCAGUGCCGCAGGGAAGCCAUUAAGCCUGCCACCUGGGAAGUACGGCCGCAAGGCUGAAACCCCUUCAACGGGGCAGUCGACUUA
rnacentral:rRNA from 1 species